AAGUCGAACGCUGAAGCCCCAGCUUGCUGGGGUGGAUGAGUGGCGAACGGGUGAGUAACACGUGAGUAACCUGCCCCUGACUUCGGGAUAAGCCCGGGAAACUGGGUCUAAUACCGGAUACGACCUGUCCUCGCAUGAGGGUGGGUGGAAAGUUUUUUCGGUUGGGGAUGGGCUCGCGGCCUAUCAGUUUGUUGGUGAGGUAAUGGCUCACCAAGACGACGACGGGUAGCCGGCCUGAGAGGGCGACCGGCCACACUGGGACUGAGACACGGCCCAGACUCCUACGGGAGGCAGCAGUGGGGAAUAUUGCACAAUGGGGGAAACCCUGAUGCAGCGACGCAGCGUGCGGGAUGACGGCCUUCGGGUUGUAAACCGCUUUCAGCAGGGAAGAAGCGAAAGUGACGGUACCUGCAGAAGAAGUACCGGCUAACU
rnacentral:rRNA from 1 species